AUUGAACGCUGGCGGCAGGCCUAACACAUGCAAGUCGAACGAGUGGCGGACGGGUGAGUAAUGUCUGGGAAACUGCCCGAUGGAGGGGGAUAACUACUGGAAACGGUAGCUAAUCCCGCCUACCCUCCGAUGUGCCCAGAUGGGAUUAGCUAGUAGGUGGGUUAACGGCUCACCUAGGCGACGCUCCCUAGCUGGUCUGAGAGGAUGACCAGCCACACUGGAACGGAGACACGGUCCAGACUCCUACGUGAGGCAGCAGUGGGGAAUAGUGCACAAGGGGCGAAAGCCUGAUGCAGACAGGCCGCGUGGAUGAAGAAGGCCUUCGGGUUGUAAAGUACUUUCAGCGAGGAGGCGUUACUCGCAGAAGAAGCACCGGCUAACUCCGUGCCAGCAGCCGCGGUAAUAC
rnacentral:rRNA from 1 species